GACUGUCUUAUCGCCGUCUACAGCCGCAUCUUUGAGGGAACUCCGGGCAGAUUGCUGCUCAUCUACAGAAAAGAAGGAAAACAUCUCGACGUAGAUGAGCUGAAGGCCGCCGAGAGCCUCCACAGGAAGCUGGCUGAGUGCCUGAAGUUCAACAUUGAGACAAAUUUCAGAUAUGACGGGAAGGCAGGUUUUUGUCUUGAAACAAAAGAAGAACAGAGAAAAGUCUGAAGACGGCGAAACGACUUCAUGUUUUAUCUCAGAAUCAGUUCAUUAAAAUAUCUGUUUAUGUCACUGAAGAGUAAAGACUGAAUGAUAACCAUA